rnacentral:rRNA from 1 species
CCUACGGGUGGCAGCAGUGAGGAAUAUUGGUCCAUGGACGAGAGUCUGAACCAGCCAAGCAGCGUGAAGGAUGACUGCCCUAUGGGUUGUAAACUUCUUUUAUAUGGGAAUAAAAUGUUCCACGUGUGGGAUUUUGUAUGUACCAUAUGAAUAAGGAUCGGCUAACUCCGUUCCAGCAGCCGCGGUAAUACGGAGGAUCCGAGCGUUAUCCUGAUUUAUUGGGUUUAAAGGGAGCGUAGGUGGAUUGUUAAGUCAGUUGUGAAAGUUUGCGGCUCAACCGUACAAUUGCAGUUGAAACUGGCAGUCUUGAGUACAGUAGAGGUGGGCGGAAUUCGUGGUGUAGCGGUGAAAUGCUUAGAUAUCACGAAGAACUCCGAUGGCGAAGGCAGUUCACUGGACUGCAACUGACACUGAGGCUCGAAAGUGUGGGUAUCAAACAGGAUUAGAUACCCGAGUAGUC